CGUACUUCAGAAUAAAUUCUUCAAAGAUAGCUUUUGCUACCGUGUUUGCACAUUUAUUUGUAAUUGGGAUGGCAACUAGGUAUUUUGUCAAGUCACAGAUUGAAGUGACUGCAUAUUCAUUUCCCUGUUCUGAUUUAGGAAGUGGACCGAUCGUAUCCAUUAUUACCCUAUCGAAAGCCAAUUGGGGGGCUUCCGUAAUUGUUAAAGGAGUUUUUGUAUGCUUAGUCGUUAUCGACUUUUGCCAUUUUUGACAUUUACGUAUG
rnacentral:lncRNA from 1 species